GGACUACACGGGUAUCUAAUCCCGUUUGCUCCCCUGGCUUUCGUGCCUGAGCGUCAGGAACUGUCCAGAGACCCGCCUUCGCCACCGGUGUUCUGGUCGAUCUCUACGCAUUUCACCGCUACACCGACCAUUCCAGUCUCCUCUCCAGUCCUCAAGCCCGCCAGUUUCGAAUGACCUAUCACAGUUAGGCUGUGAGAUUUCACAUCCGACUUAACGAGCCGCCUGCGCACCCUUUACGCCCAAUGAAUCCGAACAACGCUUGCAGUCUCUGUAUUACCGCGGCUGCUGGCAC
rnacentral:rRNA from 1 species